rnacentral:miRNA from 1 species
GAGAACCAGCUGCACAGAGAGCACCCAGCACCCAAAUAUUUGGGUGCUGGGUGCUCUCUGUGCAGUUGGUUCUCA